GUGAUAGCUCAGUUAGUUAGAGCAUAGCGCUGAUCCUGCCACGGUUGCAGGUUUGAUCCCUGUAAGGGACA